rnacentral:rRNA from 1 species
GGCGGACGGGUGAGUAACGCGUAAAGAACUUGCCCUUUAGACUGGGAUAACAGAGGGAAACUUCUGAUAAUACUGGAUAAGUUAGUAUAUCGCAUGAUAUGCAAAUGAAAGCUACGGCACUAAAGGAGAGCUUUGCGUCCUAUUAGCUAGUUGGUAAGGUAAGAGCUUACCAAGGCGAUGAUAGGUAGCCGGCCUGAGAGGGUGGACGGCCACAAGGGGACUGAGAUACGGCCCUUACUCCUACGGGAGGCAGCAGUG